AGCCAGUGGAUGGGAAGCCCCCCCCCCCCCCCCAUAAUGGGCUGAUUUUUGGGGCUCUGAACAAAACAAUAAAAAACAACCCUCCCAAUUUUGGAAGGCUUUCCAAAAAUGGAUUGGGCCCCGCAAGGAAAGCCGGAAACGAAACAGGACAAGCUUUUACCCUAAUGCACACCACUACAAUUUAGAAGGUGAGGUAACUGGGACCUAUUGAGAGAGUGCCUUCUUUCCCCUAUUAAACACUUGAGUCCUGUUUUCUUUAUAAAAAGGAAACAUCCAAUAAGCCAUAAGGUAGCUGAAUACAUUCACCAGUAGAUCAGCUUGGUAGAAGAGGAAGCAGAAAUGUAUGUGAAGAGAGUGGUGGAGAGAAGAAGGCUGAAGGAUGCCUUUCCCAUCGACCACUUUCCCACCUCCACAGCCCUGACAAGGGGCUUAUUAAAGAAAAGCAGGCACAGCUAUGUGGAGGAGAGGGCAAAAUAAGGGCAUUUGUUCUCCAAAUAAGUCAAGUCAACUAUAUUUGUAUGCCAUCCCAUCUCCCCUUGGGGAUUCAGGGCGGCUAACAACAUGGAUGGCAGCCAUUCAAUGCCCCACAAAUACACAAAAAUAGAAACACACAAUAAAUUAAAAGCAAAUAAUUAAUACAACAAUGUAUCAUAAUUAAAACACAAUAGCAAUAAAGUAAACAAAAUACCAUUAAAGCAAAGGCAAACCCCUCCUAAACAGCUCUUAGGUAUAACACCCUGCCAUAAGGACACCAUGUACUGGAAAUAAAAGCACACAACAACAGCAACAGCAACAACAUGACACUCUGAAAAUACAAUUAUGUCAUGGAUAUUUUGUGCAAUGACUGGAAUCUCAGGAUGUGUUUGGGUUAUACAGGAGGCAAGCUGUUAAUCAUGGGAAAACCUACAAAUGUGACCUUCAUCCCAAUGCAUAAGAAUUCUACUCCCCCUCAAAUGACAUUUUCUUUCAGUCCUCAAUUUUUUAGCAUAGCAGUAACUUUCAGAUGAGCAUUUAGAGAUGCAGUUUAAGCACCUAAAGAAAAGGGCAAGCAAAGUUAGCAAAGUAGCACAAACCCAGCAAAUGUAGGACAAUUUAGAAGAUGUGAAUGAUUUUCAGUAUCUCACUCUGCAUUGCUAAAAAUUUGGAAGGACAAUUUCAUGGGGAAGCACAGAACACUUAUUUGGGGGGAAUACCUUCACUCCUUUCAUCCCCAUAGCUACACUUGGAUUUAUUCAAUAGGAAAGAAAAGCAUGGGAGAUCCCUAUAAGGCUGGCCUUUUGAAUCAGAAGGAAGAAGUCAUAGCUUAUGCUGGAACAGGGGUAGCAAGAUGUUGGAGAAACCUACACAGGCUUAGCCUGGGCUUCCUUGUUGUCCCCAGGUAUGGCAGACAUUGCUUUCCCUUUGCUAGUAUUGAAGACAGAUUUAAUGGCUAAUCAAAAGAGCUUUUGUAUGUGGAAAGGAGGGAAGCACUAAAAUAUUUCAGGCCAGGUUUGAAUAUUGUCUGGUUUUCUCCUUAGAAUGGAGGUAUAUAAAGAAUACAUUGUUGUGGCCAUUUCAUUUUGGAUGUUGCAGAUAAAGGAAGCUCACAUCCAGCACAGAGGGAGAGAUUGUAUUCCUACACAGCAUGAAUGUUUAUGAAAAUAAAACGUGAGCUUUCACUUCAGAGAUGCCUGACCGCUUGCCUUUCUGUCCAGUCACAGGCAGAGAUUAUACCCAUUUUUUUGGGGGGGGGGGGGGCAACUGCUCAACUCUUUCAAUGGCCAUGUUGGCUCAGGAAUUCUGGACAUUGAAUAAAAAUAAAAUAUUAUUUUCAGCUCUCUGGACUAGUUGGCUCAUAGCACUUUCAGAGUUGACUGAUUGCCUCUUUGGCAGGAAGACACAGGAAUGAGUUUGUUGGCUUCCCGUUUUGUUUAAAACUGGUAGAAAGAAAAAUAGAACAGGGAGAAAUUUAUACUCAGGCAAGAAAACCGCAUAACCCACAUUGGCUUUAUUAUCUCAGGCCUGUCAAUUGUAUGCCUGUCAAGAGGCAAAGGUUUGCUCCUAGUUAUGUCCCUUCAAUGUGUUCUUUAGAUUUCUCAGUAGUUUAUUUUCUUUUUUUAAAGAUGAAUCAAUAACAACUUUUAAAAGGCGGUAAAGCACUUCUAAUUAAAUGCUUUGGCCUGCAGAUGGAUCUAGGAGGAAUUAUAACACAGGUUGACAUACUAUUUUUAGCACAGCUUGCCUCUGUUCAUGUGUCGUCCAUUUUCCCCAGAUGCUUUUGACAUAUGCCAGAGUGUUCACACGACUAAUCACUCAGGAGCUUAGCCAUGUGAAAUAUAUUUGUUGUCAUGUGUGUGUGGGCAUGCAGGAUCUUGACUGUAUGAGUGAAAAAUAAAAUAGCAUUUAUUCAGAUUGUGGGAACGAGGAACGAUGCUUAACUGGGAGCCACCAGGUUAUAACUGUUUGACUUGACUUGUUUGAACUCACUUUUUGAACCAAAUUCAGCAAGACAUGGGGAAGUCUUCUCUUUAGGCUGAACUCUGCCUUUUUUUGCCCUGUAUUAAAAAAAGAAUUCUAUCACCACUAUGAGAAAAGCAUGUUUUCACCUAUAUUUACUUGCUUUGAGUAUUUUUUCUUGUGGUUCAAAGGGGGAAUAAUAUCAGGACCUAGGUAGCUCACUAAAGCUUUGUCUCCCUCCAAAGUAUUUCAAGCCACCAAAUAUUUUUUUUAAAUGAAAUCUAGAACUGGGUUGUUGUGUGUUUUCUGGGCCAUGUUCCAGAAGCAUUCUCUCCUGAUGUUUUGCCCACAUCUAAGGCAGGCAUCUUAAUCUAGAACUCUCUCCUCAAUGGUCUGUGCUCCAUGAUUUCAGGACAAUAGACUCAUCUACAUUAACGAGCCCUGGAAAAAGAGGAUGGUAGCGCAUCAUGUGAACAGCAGACUAAUCCACAUCAGACUCCGUCCUACUGUUCACAUUGUUCCUAAAUGGCGGGGUUGCUCUGGAAUGUCAACCAAACUCUGGAGCAUCCCCCAACUUUCCUUAGUAAGGUAAAGGUUUUCCCCUGACGUUAAGUCCAGUCAUGUCUGACUCUGGGGGUUGGUGCUCAUCUCCAUUUCUAAGCCGAAGAGCCGGCAUUGUCUGUAGACACCUCCAAGGUCAUGUGGCCAGCAUGACUGCAUGGAGCGCUGUUACCUUCCCGCCGGAGCGGUACCUAUUGAUCUACUCACAUUGGCAUGUUUUUGAACUGCUAGGUUGGCAGGAGCUGGAGCUAACAGCGGCUGUUCACACCGCUCCCGGGUUUGAACCUGGGACCUUUCAGUCUGCAAGUUCAGAGGCUCAGCGCUUUAACACACUUCGCCACUGGGGCUCCUUAACUUUCCUUAAUGGGGGAUUAAACUGGAUUUACUCGAUUUACCCCAUGAUAAGUACUAGAAAUCCCGGAACAUCGUGAAAAUAGCCAGGAGCAACUACACAGUGAGUGUGGGCUAUUAAGCACAUGUAGACAAGCCCAAUGUGUCCCUAUCAAUAUUACUCCAACUAAAUGUCUGAGAUAAGGGUGAUGCCUGCAAUCCUGUAUGGGAUUUACAAAUGUGAAAAAACUAUAGUUAUUAUGCUACUCAUUGGAUCUGUUCCCCAGUCCACAUGGUGAUGAAUGAGAGUCUGUACCACUAUUAACCAGUAAGUAGUUGACUGCUGGUUCUACCCUCAUGUGCAAUUCCCCCUCACACUGGAGACUGAUCAUUAGAGAACAGGGUGGGAAGUUCAGUCAGCUGCUCAUUGACUGGUGGAGAAACAGAUCUUUGUCAAGUGCAGUGCCUGCUGAUUGGUUAGAGGGUGUGGAAGACUUUCAUGGUUUUUAUGUAGCUCAUAAAUUAGUGGUUACAUAUGGAUGGUGAAUAUGUAAUACUCAAUGGACCUGUCUACAGGAGCAAAAGAAAUCAUAUUCACUUUGUCGCUGCCUUGAACCUGACCUGCAGUAUAUGGCUCCUUUAGCAGUGAAAGUGUUUUUUUAGACAUGUGAUAUACCAAAACUCAACAAAAGAGUGAACAUAUGUUAUGUUAUUUCCUAACUGAUACGGACCACCUGGAAAGUACAGUUUAAGAUUGGGGUUUUGUUUCCUUGGGUUCUGCUAAUUAAGGGAAGAAAGGGGUGGUGCCUCUCCUCCAAUUUAUGUAGGUGUAGUGGUGGCCUGGCAUGAAAAUUCUUAUCAAUGGCAAUUUGUUUAAUAUGGCCAUGCCAUAUAACAUAACAUAAAGUUAUAUAACAUAAAGUAAUGCCAUAUAACAUAACAAAAAUUGACUUACUUUAUGUGAGAAUACCAGUUUGAAGACUAUGAGUCACUCAUUUAUGGAAAAAUUAAACCUUGGAUAAAUAGGCAGGACCAGAUGAAGAACCUUUGCCUUGCCCAGUAUUUCAGUUGAUUUAUCUAUUACUAUCAGGUGCAGUUUGUAGUACCGAAGUCACAGACCUGUCAAUGUCUAUGUAUGCACCAUAAGAUUUGGUUAACCCAGCUAGCUCUGCUAUGUUGGAAACACUGAUCACAUCCUCAGAGAAACUAAAAUCAACAAGUCAUGGAUGGUUGAAUCUGAAUGCAGGAUCUAUGGAUGUGGAGAGCCGACUGUAUGACCUGUUACAUUAUUCAACUGUACAUGUAUCUACUAGCUAUGAAGGAAAAGCACCAAGGAACUCCUUUACUGAAUUACAGAGCAGGACACUGUCAAGAGCACUGUCAGAACAGAGGCACACAAGGCAGAUCACUGUGUAAUGCACAUCAUGCAUUGAGCACUUUGCCAGAGGUGACUAACAGAAAAUAUGACAGAAGGCAGUAUUGAAGACAUUUUGGUAUCUAUAUCAGAAAGUAUGGGGAAAAAUCUAUUUUGUUUUGCAAAAACAGUAUAUAGGGUAAGCUUACCAUACGCUCUUAACCAGUACAAUGGAAAGUUACUUUUUGUAACACUGGGCAUUCUGCCUGGAGUAUUCUGGAAGUCACAGUCCAAAAAAGCAACUUUUCCAAGCUCUGCUGUCAUAAAAGAGAGAGACAGACUAAGAACGCCUGCUGGCAAACACUUAAGUGGUUAUGAUGACUUUUUGUGUAACCACUUGGCAAGGUGGAGGUCUGUUUCAUCCUGCCAAGCCGUAAAGACAACGUUAAGCCCAUUCUUUUCAAACAUUUCUUUCCCUGAAUUAAGCCAGUCACACCCCGAGGAAUUAGAUUUAGCAAGUUGUUGGCUUUGUUCUAGUACUUAUUAUGGCAGCCACUACAGUGGUUAGAAAAACCACCACAGUGCUAAGCUUUGCCACCUAGAAAGCAGAGCCAGCCAUGUCAUUUGACAGAGAGAAGAAGGCUCCUCCAGCAGUGGCUGGUGAGGGUAGGGAGAGAUACAGGUAAGGAUAUGGAAGACAUAGCUUUGUGUACCUGCAGCUUCCCUAUUGCCCAUGAGUAUAGCAGAGACCCAUUUCUAGUGUUGUAAUGAGAUCCUAGCAGUGUCAGCUGAUCAUUUCCAUAUGUGUUACCAAUUAAUAAUUCUGGACUUUGGCCCAUACUUUAGGAAAUAGUAACUCCCGUAUCGUAGCAACCCCGCUGGUUACCAACCUAUCUCUGGGCAGAAUCCAGUGUUGGUUAUUAAUUCCCUACAUGGCUUUGAUCUAGACCAGGGGUCCUGUUUGGUUGGUAUUACUGGUAAUUCAUUCUUCCAUUUUUAUGAUAUGAAAGUCUUGCUGCCAUGGUCAUAUACUGAAAUAAUUCUCCAUGUUUCCUUUCCAUUUGCACAUUCAUCAAAUCACAUUCUCUCAGGCUCAGAGUGAAGCAAAGGCAAACUCCAUCUGAAUAAAUCAUUCCAAGAAAAAAUCCUGUUACAGGUUCAAAUUAGUGUCACCAUAACCUGGAAACAACUUGAAGAUGCAUGAUGACAGCAACAAGAUAAAUUGAAUAAAAUAAGAUAGCUCAACGUACUUUGGUACUGGAGGAAAAUCCUGAGAGUGCCCUGGACCACAAGAAGAUCCAACCAGUCAAUCCUCCAGGAAAUAAUGCCUGGCUGCUCACUGGAGGGAAGGAUAUUAGAGAUUAAGUAUUUUUGCCACAUCAUGAGAAGACAGGAAAGCUUGGAAAAGAUCAUGAUGCUGGAAGAAAUGGAAGGAAAAAGAAGAGAGGCCGACCAAGGGCGAGAUGGAUGGAUGGUAUCCUUGAAGUGACUGGCUUGACCUUGAAGGAACUGGGGGCAGCGACAGCCGACAGGGAGCUCUGGCGUGGACUGGUCCAAGAGGUCACGAAGAGUCGGAAACGACUGUGUGAUUGAAGAAGAAGCUCAAUGUACAGUGCAUUGCAGAAGUCCAACUGCAAUAAACUGAAGAAUUUGCCUAAUGGCAUUAUGUAUUCCAGGGCACCCAUUUCAAAGAUUUGAAUUUUCUUAGGGGACAUAUCUGAGCCAAACCUAAUUGCUGGUCGCAUAGAGUAGAUCCAUAGAAUCAAUGGAGCUUCUAUGAGUAUUAACUUACACAAUUCCCAUUGAGGCAAUAGCUGUAAUGGAGGACACUCUGUAUCUCCCUCUAUGGGAGAACACAAACAUGCUGUACUUUUAAUAUUAGAGCUGGUAAAACAUUUGGUAGCUGCAGCAUGGAAUAUAAGUGUAUGAAAAGUUGCACACAUUCUCUCUACUACCCAACUGUUAACAUUAGAAAUUUCCCAUGUCUUCUUUGUAUAACAUGGGCCACAUUUGUCAUAGAUUCUCUUUGCAUACCAACAUUGACCUUGCAGAAUCAAAGAAAAUUCUCCCAAAGGAACCUAAAACAUUAACAUUUUCUGUGAUGACCAGGGGUAAGUUUGUUGUAAGAAUUCUUUCCUACCACCACUUAUUAUAUACAGCUAAAAUUUCCAUGUUGCAGCCCAAAAUGUUGAGUGGGAGUCAAGCUAGCCAUGUGCAAUUCUUUCCCAGGACACCUAUUUGCUCUUAUUUCCUUAACACAGUAUGAAGUUAAAUAGCAAAAUCCUAUUUAGGUGGCACACAGAGAAGCAUAGUGAUAACUACCCAGGUGGAACUGCUUCUACUUCACUUGGGCUAUUGAUGGGAAAAGCUUCCUGUUGCAUUACAAGUUAUCAUUCCUUCAAGGCUAUGUUAGAUGGGAAAUUUUAGACAAUGUAAGCUUUGGUCUGGUCUGCAACCUGCUUGCAUCUUUAAUAUUAGACUGGUGAAACUGUUUUGUAGCUGCAGUAUGACAUACUGGGGAAACCAGUCCAUAUCUCUUCUUUUUGCAAUUUUGCUCAUGUUCAAAAGUAUGAGUCCCAGAGAUUCCUAGUAAGAAUGAAAACUCAAUCCAAUAUCUGAUUGAGCCAGCCAGUCUUUAACAAUUGUGGAGCAGUUUAUUAUUGUCCCAAAGGUUAGAAGUCAAGUAUUUUAUUUUUAUUCUUUAGUGACUAGAGAGCUCUGGAAUGCAGUCUGGGGCCAUCUCAGGCAAACAAAGAUUUCCUCUGACCAGGUGCUUAAUGCCUCUUGGAGGGGGCGAGCCACUAGCAUGCUACAGUCCUCAACAAGGACGCUGAGUACUGAUCCUGAAAAUAGUACUUAACUGACCUUUAUGAAAUAGAAUAUGUCAGGAGUGCAGCAAAUGGCAACACCACAAAAAUAUGUACAAUGCUCUUAAAGCAUUUUAUUCCUACUUACAAACAACCCAAGUGUCAUUGUAUACAGUAUGACCCAUAUAUCUGCAGGGAAUACAACCCAGGGAAUACAUAAAUAUGUGAAACCACAAAUAACUGGAACUCCCCCCCUUUCCAAAGAAGUAAAAAUUUCCCCCUCUCUCCUCUCCUUAAAAAAACUUAAAAACUCAUCUUUGCACCUUAACUUAUGGAGAGGAGGAGCAUUGGAACAUCUUAAUACAUAACUUCAUUUGGACACUGGAAAUCUACUCUGGCUCUGUUUGGUUGUUCAUCAUCAUCAUCACAUUGUUUUAUAUAACAUCAUUCAUCCUCAUUUUAUACUUUUAAUGUAUUUUAACUAUUUAGAUUUUAUUAUGAUGUAAAUGUGUAUGUUGAUGUUUAUUUGUUUAAAUUAUUCUUUGCUUAGUCAUUUAAGUUUAUUAGUUUAUAUUGAUGAUAUUUGUUUAUUGUUUGAUUUGUUUUGUUUGUUCAUUACAGCAUUGAAUGUUUGUUCUGGAAACUGCCCCAAGUCUCCUUGGGAAGAUAGGGCAGGUUACAAAUAAAAUUUAUUAUCAAGUUUAUUAUUAAUAAGAAACUCUAAAGGACCUCUGGCCCAUAGAGAUGUGCUUGAGCACCUAGAAAAUGCACUAGAGAUAGCAUAUUUUGACAGAUGUGGAUAAAUGUGAUUAUGGAUAUAGGUCCUGACAGUAUGGAAAAACAGAAUAACUGGCUUGGUUUUCUGAGGUAGUAGGUAGUGACUUCCUUAUCAAUGACAUGGUGGAUUAAUUUCUGUUUUUUAAUUCAGACUUCAAAAGGACCACCUAUGCUACUCAGCCCUAACCCUUGCAGUAACUUCAGCACCUUGGAUAGCCAUGGUUGAGUUAGAUUAAACCUGGAGUGAAUUCAGCACCCCUCUAACACAAAAGCUACCAUGAGUUCUCAAAUUGGAUACCCAUUGGUUAUGGAUGAAAAAUUGAUGGAUCUGGGGAGAGUAACAUUUUGAGAUUAAAACUCACAGAACCUUCCAAUAGCCAAUGAUUUUUCCAACUUAAGGAUUCUGGUCAGUGACCUUGCUGGCUGAAUUUGAAGCUGGUACAAAAAGCCACUUUUCAGGCUCUAAAUCUGAAGCAUAAACUCCACAUGUCCUUUUAUGUGCCAGGCAAUAACUCCAAGAUGAUGGCUCUUCACUGAAAAGCAUAAAGGUGCUCAAAGAGAACAUAACCAUGCCUCACAUUUUGUGGCUCUGCCACACCCUCUCUUUCGUCCUACCUGCUGUUUUCAGCAGAUCUCUCACACACAGCAGGUAGCAGAGCGGGAGAUAGAACAACCAGAGCAGCAGUCUGAAAGGCUCCAAUUUUCAUUCUUUCAAAGGUUUUUUAAGAGAGUGGCACCUUGGAGCUUUUAAAAGUGCUCUCUCCAAGGGAAGAGCUAGCAAUCCCCUCUUUUUUACACAAAAAGAGAGAGGGCAUAUCUAUGUUGUUAUGUCUGUUCAUUGCAACAGGAGCCAGAAAUGCACAAGGAACCAAUUUCAAUUCAUAAGACCUCUUUAUGAUGGCAAGGCAGUACUAGGGAAAGAGUUGUGGACUUGCAGCCAGCGUGCAAAUCGAAAGAUCCAGUGGGCUUGCCUGGGCAAGUUGGUGCAUUUAAUUCCUUGAGCACUCAAAAUACUGUAAACAGAUAGGGAAAAUUACUUUUCUACAUAAAGGAGGAUAGUUGGGGAGAAGUGAGGGAUUGCCACUGACACAGCGCCUGGUUCCUGAAGAUGGGGCUGCCCUGUGAACAUUCACAGGACAUCAUUGUCUCCAGGAGUUGAAUAGUGAGGGGAGUCUGUCAGCCAUGCUGUGCCUAUCUCUCAAAAAUGGGAGGCAAGGCAUGGCACAGGCAGUUAGCUCUGAGGACAGUAUUGCCCCGGAAAUGUUCACAGGGCAGUCCCAUCUUCAGGAGCCAGGCAUGGCAUGGUAUGAGGAGUGAUGACUAGUGUGUGUGUUUUCACUGGGCAAAAAAAGGGAUGUACGUGACAAAACAGACACUCAUGACACACAGAAAGAGAAGCCAGGAUUCACAGGGUAAGUGAAGUGGCAGACGUGCACAGGGCCUGGUCCUCUUCCUAUGUGCCACAUGUGUCUAUUUCAUCCAUUCAUUACUCUAAACUUCACAAAAGUGAAGGACAAACUGUACUAUUAAAGAAAAGGCCUCUUCUGGAUCUAAAAUAACAAAAGGAGGGGACAUCUUAAGAGGCAUUGGGAGAUACCCCCCCCCCCUCAAAUCCUGCAAGUGGCUUAUAGUGGCCCCACCUCUGAUGUAAAUCCAGUAUCAUUGGGUAGCUUGAUCUAUCAUUUGUGAAAUCUCGUUUUGUAUCAUCAUUCAGCCUUGAACCUCACUGGCUAAUCUUGAGCCAGUCACAAUUUCUCAGAAUAACCAGCCUCGCAAGGGUUGUCAUGGAUGUUGUGUGUGCUCUCUGGUAAAAUGUAAAAAUUGUUUCACUCGGAAGAAAAGUGUUUUUUCCCCUUUUUCCAAAGAAAAAGAAAACAUAAAAAACAGAAUCAUA